rnacentral:lncRNA from 1 species
GUAAUAUGACCUGACCCGUUACCCGUUAAAGAAAAUAUAUUUUAAACCAAUAAAUAAUCAAAUGAAAAACAUAAUACUAAAUAAGUAUAUAUAUACCAUAUUAUCACAUCCAAAACAUAAUAACGCAUUUUUCUUUUAAGUAUAUUUUCGCUUACCUAAAUUGAUCAAAUGGUAAAAUUGGAAAAUAUUGGAAUAGAGAUGGGGUUUUUUCAUCCAAAAAAGUAAUAAGAAUAUAAAUGAAAUAGAAUCUAAUGACACAGAUUUACUCUCAUUUAUCGUACGGCUGUUAUUUAAAUAAAGUCUUUAAUAGUUUUUUAAUUAAUGUAGAAGUGUAAAAAAUAUAGAAAAAAUAUAUAUAAACGCUCGUAAUGACAAGCUUUACAACUUUCAUGAAGAGCUUAACUUCGAAAUUCGCCACUAUAAUCAUAUAAAUCAUUGUUCAAAAUUUAACUGUUGAUUGUUGUUUACAUUUACGCUUCAUUGUUCUCAUCAAAUUUUGUUUUCUCAGAUUUUCUUUUUUGAAAACAUGAUCUAUUAGAGAAUGUAGGAAGAUGAAUGGUGUAGAUUGUUGAUAUUAUAUUCAGAGUUUUAUGAUUAGUGAAAAUAUUGCUUGAUGCUUAUAAAGUUUCUACAAACUAGAUGACAUCGACUCAUAUUUCAGUUAACCGUAAAUAUCAAAAUAUGAUAUCAAAGAUUUAAACCAUUCAUCUUCUUACAUCCGCCAGAUGAUCAUGUUUUCAAAAAAGAAAAUUUUAAAAAUGAAAUUCAGUAAGAAGAAUAAAGUUUAAAUAUCAAUCGACGGUUAAAUAUAAAUUUAAGGUUAUGGAUUAUAGUGUUGGAUUUCUAAGCUGAUCCCUUCAUGAAAGUUGUAAAGCUUGUCAUUAUGAGUGAUUGUAUAUAUAUUUUUUUGUUUUUUACAUUUUUGACACUUCUACAAUAAUUUUAUUAAUUAUUCCCUCAAAUAAAAAACAUUAUUCAUGUGGGUUUGGAGGAUUUUAAAAAUCUAAAUAAUAAUAUAAGUGUAACCAUUAUCUACUUGUAGAUGAAUAAUGAUGAAUCACGAGUGUUUAUAUAUUCUUUCACAUUUUUCAUACUUGUAUGUAUGUCUUCUUAGUUAUUGUCUAUACAAAUAUUAUACUAGUUUAUUUUAAUUUUGGACAACAACAUGUUAAGUAAAAUUUAUC